AUUGAACGCUGGCGGCAUGCUUUACACAUGCAAGUCGAGCGGCAGCGCGAGGGCAACCUUGGCGGCGAGCGGCGAACGGGUGAGUAACACAUCGGAACGUACCCAGGAGUGGGGGAUAGCCCGGCGAAAGCCGGAUUAAUACCGCAUACGAUCUGUGGAUGAAAGCGGGGACCUGGCAACAGGCCUUGCGCUCAUGGAGCGGCCGAUGUCCGAUUAGCUAGNGGUGGGGUAAAGGCCUACCAAGGCGACGAUCGGUAGCUGGUCUGAGAGGAUGAUCAGCCACACUGGGACUGAGACACGGCCCAGACUCCUACGGGAGGCAGCAGUGGGAAUUUUGGACAAUGGGGCAACCCUGAUCCAGCCAUGCCGCGUGCGGGAAGAAGG
rnacentral:rRNA from 1 species